AAACAGUUGCUGGGGAAUGGAGGGGUGUGGUGAGGACCUCGGCCCUAGGCCCAGUCUAACUAUGUGGUCUCUGUGCUGAGGUGGGCAGGGACACAGGAAUUAAAGCUACAGUCUUCAAGGAAUAGAGGAUUUAGUGGGAACUGAAGGCCCUUCUCAGGCCACAGCGCCGCCGAGGACUUCCAGCCCUCAGGUGACAGGAGGAAUCCCAUCGCCUUUCUGGGACUCCAAAUCCCACCUAGGGAUGCCAGAAGGGUGGGUCAUGAAGACAACAGAGUGAGGCUGCUGAAUGUAAUCAAGGAGAGAAGCAAUUGAUUUUCUUUGUAGGCAGACUAAUCUCUAGGACUCAAGAUUUUCUGUACCAGCACAACAGAGUGAUUUCCUCAUUUUUUUCUGGACACUUAACCGAAGAUGGAAUGUAAGAACCCGUCAGCUCACAUCCCUUAUAUUUAUCUGUACAGCACUGACUGAGGAUUAGGAUGUUUUCAAAUCCAUUAUAUUGACAGAUCUCCCCAACUCCCUAAAAAUUCCUAUUCUGCAUUUGGGGAAACUGAGGCAGAGAUUUACACUCAAUUUAUACUCAAAAUAGACAACUUCAGAUCUUGACUUUGCUUCUUACUGUGUGACUUCUGUGGAUGGAGGAAAGGCAAGUCAUUUAACCUCAAUUUCGUCAUCUAUAGAAUAUGAGGAUUGGAAAACUCCUUUUUGAGGUGCCUUCUAGUCCCUGUAAUUCAUGAUUCUUGGGGCCCAGAGAAAUUCAGUGAUUU